UCUCCUCAAAUCAUCAAAACCCUGGCUUCUCUAUCUUCUGCUAAACCUACCACCAUAAUUGCCUCCCCAUCGUUACUCUUCAUCUUAGAGUUCCAUCUGACAUCCAACGUUACCUCGAAGUUAUGAAGGCAGAUCCGUCGAGUCGAGGGUUCGUAAGGUGAAUAUGUUGAAACAAGGUUUGGUGAUAAGGAAACAAGAAGAAUGAUGGCUAGAACCAGAAGCGGUAAUAGGAUGAAAAGCUAUACGUUUAACUCUUCAUUAUGAAGAAACCUAAAUGGGAAUGCCUCUUUAAGCACCAUAAGAGGAGUUCAGUUAAAGUGGAUAUCAUUAAACUUGAAUUGAGCUGCAAAUGGUACUAAUCAAAACCGAUUAUAUUGUUAUUAAUUUCUUAAUCUAAUUUCCAUGAAUAAUUUCCUUUUUCUAAUUCAGCUAAUAUCCAAUAUCUUUUCUUUGUUCUACUUUAAAUUUGUUUGAUGUAUCUAUGUAAUGCAUGCCCUACAAUACCACAUUGCAAGAACUACUUAGCAACCUAGGAAUUAAUCUUGAUCAAAGCACCGUAUCUAAUACUUUUUAUGUAAUAUUAAUAGUUAGAGUUUUACAAGGAAUGUAUAGGUAUUUUAAUACUCAA